GACGAACGCUGGCGGCGUGCUUAACACAUGCAAGUCGAACGGUAAGGCCCUUCGGGGUACACGAGUGGCGAACGGGUGAGUAACACGUGGGUGAUCUGCCCUGCACUUCGGGAUAAGCCUGGGAAACUGGGUCUAAUACCGGAUAGGACCACUGCCCGCAUGGGUGGUGGUGGAAAGCUUUUGCGGUGUGGGAUGGGCCCGCGGCCUAUCAGCUUGUUGGUGGGGUGAUGGCCUACCAAGGCGACGACGGGUAGCCGGCCUGAGAGGGUGACCGGCCACACUGGGACUGAGAUACGGCCCAGACUCCUACGGGAGGCAGCAGUGGGGAAUAUUGCACAAUGGGCGCAAGCCUGAUGCAGCGACGCCGCGUGAGGGAUGACGGCCUUCGGGUUGUAAACCUCUUUCAGCACCGACGAAGCGCAAGUGACGGUAGGUGCAGAAGAAGGACCGGCCAACUACGUGCCAGCCGCCGCGGUAG
rnacentral:rRNA from 1 species